rnacentral:rRNA from 1 species
AUUGAACGCUGGCGGCAGGCCUAACACAUGCAAGUCGAACGAGUGGCGGACGGGUGAGUAAUGUCUGGGAAUCUGCCCGCUGGAGGGGGAUAACUACUGGAAACGGUAGCUAAUACCGCAUACCAUCGGAUGAACCCAGAUGGGAUUAGCUAGUAGGUGGGGUAAAGGCUCACCUAGGCGACGAUCCCUAGCUGGUCUGAGAGGAUGAUCAGCCACACUGGGACUGAGACACGGCCCAGACUCCUACGGGAGGCAGCAGUGGGGAAUAUUGCACAAUGGGCGCAAGCCUGAUGCAGCCAUGCCGCGUGUAUGAAGAAGGCCUUAGGGUUGUAAAGUACUUUCAGCGGGGAGGCGUUACCCGCAGAAGAAGCACCGGCUAACUCCGUGCCAGCAGCCGCGGUAAUAC